GAUGAACGCUAGCGAUAGGCUUAACACAUGCAAGUCGAGGGGCAGCAUGGUCUUAGCUUGCUAAGGCUGAUGGCGACCGGCGCACGGGUGCGUAACGCGUAUGCAACUUGCCUCACAGAGGGGGUAACCCGUCGAAAGACGGACUAAUACCGCGUACACUCUAUGUUGGGCAUCCAAUGUAGAGGAAAUGAAAUUCGCUGUGAGAUAGGCAUGCGUCCCAUUAGCUAGUUGGUGAGGUAACGGCUCACCAAGGCGACGAUGGGUAGGGGAACUGAGAGGUUGACCCCCCACACUGGUACUGAGACACGGACCAGACUCCUACGGGAGGCAGCAGUGAGGAAUAUUGGUCAAGGGGCGAGAGCCUGAACCAGCCAAGUCGCGUGAAGGAUGACUGUCUUAUGGAUUGUAAACUUCUUUUAUACGGGAAUAACAAGAGUCACGUGUGGCUCCCUGCAUGUACCGUAUGAAUAAGCAUCGGCUAACUCCGUG
rnacentral:rRNA from 1 species